UUACAGGUGAACUUUGUACAUCUGGAUAGCCUUCCUGGAAUUCACAGUCCUUCAGGGGCACACAUCUAGAAAGACUACUGGUGAACAAGAGGGCACCUAGUACUUGUUGCAAUCUCAGUUUAACAGUCAAACUACCCAGCUGUGCAAAAGGCUGAAUUACAGUGCUGGCUGGAAAGCAAUGGAAGUGUGAAAUGAAAUAUGCCAUUCAAAUACAGAAAAGAAGAGGAAAACUGCUUGUAAUUAUUGCAGAGAAUAAAAGGUAAAAUUGAAAUCCUCUGCUACAAGCUGAGUGUUCUGUUCGAGGCAUUUCACAUGGACUUGAUAUAUUUUAUGUAUGAGAAAUGCUUAGAAAAUUCUUCCUCUCAUCAAAAUAUCUCCAAGAGUAAUUCAUUUUCAGAUGAGGUAGUUGUCUAUUGAAAUGAGAGAAAGAUGUGGUUUAAAAUUCCACAAAACCACAUUGCAAGCUGAACCUGAAGAGCAGGCAGUAUUAGUAGUGCCAUUUUGGAUGCAAGCUGGAGCCAACCUACUAGUUCUUUUGUUUUAAAACGAAUAUGCCUAUAGCAUGCAUCCCUACAGUAUGAAACCUGAGUAUGUGUCACCAACAUGCAUAUGAGAUAUGUGAUUACUAUGAUGUGAUUCCCGAGGUACAGAAAAGUAUUAUAAUUCUGACUACAGUGUAGAUGUAUGCCAAUCACUGACCUAAUUAAAUACAGUGUGAUAAAGAGAUCUUUUAAAUGAAACUAUUUUUUUAUACAGAAAGUAGUAUAGAAAGAAAUGUGAUACCUGCAGUAAAAUGGAUUUGCUACUCAGUCAUGAACAUUUUUGUAGCCUGCUAAAAUACUGGAGUCUGCACAGAGACACAACAUCUACCAUUACUUGGCUGAUCUACUGAUAACUUCUGGAUCUUGUAGCCUUCAUCAGCCACACUGAACAUGUCACUCAGCCAUGGGACAUUGAAUGAUUUCAACAAACUUGAUUCAUGUACCAAAAAGGAAGGCAAGAAUGUGGUAACACUGAAGUUGGAGGAACUACUGCUUGAGGGAUCUGAGGAUAUCACAGGGAGGAUUUGGUGAUAUAAGACUGCUAAACUGUGACAAGCAAGGGACGUGGAUAUAGGGAGAACCUGAUAGUGCUGUUGCAGGUUGUGGAGUUGCCAAAAGAGAACAGAAUUGCAGUGACAUUGUUGUCAGGAUAGGGUGGAAGUGAGGUACAGUUUUAUUUCAGUGAACACAGACAGAGGGAAUAUAUGGGAAAUUAAACAGAAGUCCAUGGCAAUCUAGACCAUAGUUUAAUAGCUAAUGGGACAUUUCAGAAGUCUUUAAUCCAUAAGACAAAGAAAACAGUACAAGCAGUAAAAUUUCUGUCAUUAAAAUACUGUCGUCUAUGAAGGCCUUCUAAAGAUGUAUUUCUCUCCUACAUUCCUGGAAUUUGUCUAUAACAUGUAUCCAACCAAGACACGUGGGCAGUUCAUAAGGAUGUUAAGAUGAACAACUCAAUGUUUCAGUAUGCAAAUGCCUGAUAUUUUAUUUCAGGAAUAUUAGCCCUUGAUUUAAACUUCUUUCAAUAAAAAUACACACACAUCCCUUUCAGCAUGAACACAUAUCAGAUGUCUGCUUAACCAUGAAAUCCAGGCUGAUGUUUUCAUGUGUUCACUCACCUGUUUCUGAAAUUCUUUGCUGAGCAGUUAAAACAGUUCCAAGAGGAGCACGGGGAGUACCUUGCAUAUAGGAUGCAGUACAACAGUCAGAAACUAGGACUAAGUGGGCGCUCCAGUUCCUUAUUUAUGUGAAAGAAUAAUUGUAAAUAUCUAAGAAGUGGUACUUGAUCAUAGAAUCCAUAGUGAAUAUUUAAAUUCUGGAAAAAAAGGUACAAUUUCACUCUCUUUUUUCUUGGAAAUUUUCUCCAUGAGCUGUGUCCCCUGCCAAGGGUCGUUUGCAUGCUUAGUGUUUUGGAUACCUGUUUCUUGUCUUGCGUUCUGUACAGAGCUCAGUUACCUAAGUUGAUAUCAGUUUCUUUGUUUGAUUUGGCCCUGUAUGUCUUCAGUAGAACUUCAUUUAUAGUAUUCUUGGCUGCUUUAGGCAAAGUAUCGCCAGCAGGUCAAGAGAAGCAUUGAUGAGACAGGAAUACUG